AGGCCAGAGUAGUAGUCGGGUCGGAGACGACCGGCGAAUGCCUGGUGUUGCAUG
rnacentral:rRNA from 1 species